rnacentral:rRNA from 1 species
GCGCACCAGUCGAGAAUUUUUCUCAAUGGGGGAAACCCUGAAGGAGCGACGCCGCGUGGAGGAUGAAGGUCUUCGGGUUGUAAACUCCUGUCAUUUGAGAACAAGUGGCCGAACGUAACUGCUUCGGCCUUGAUAGUAUCAGAAGAGGAAGGGACGGCUAACUCUGUGCCAGCAGCCGCGGUAAUACAGAGGUCUCAAGCGUUGUUCGGAUUCAUUGGGCGUAAAGGGUGCGUAGGUGGCGCCGUAAGUCGGGUGUGAAAUUUCGGAGCUUAACUCCGAAACUGCAUUCGAUACUGCGGUGCUUGAGGACUGGAGAGGAGACUGGAAUUUACGGUGUAGCAGUGAAAUGCGUAGAGAUCGUAAGGAAGACCAGUGGCGAAGGCGGGUCUCUGGACAGUUCCUGACACUGAUGCACGAAGGCCAGGGAGCAAACGGGAUUAGAUACCCGUGUAGU